rnacentral:tRNA from 1 species
UUCGUGUUGACCGAGUGGUUAAGGCGUUUAACUCGAAAUCAAAUGGACUCUGCCCACAGUGUUUCGAAUCCUGUCCACGACA